rnacentral:miRNA from 1 species
AAAGCAGGGUGCCCAGGUAAAUUUGAAUUUCAGAUAAACUGCAAAUAACUUUUUAGAACAAAACUGUUACAUGCAAUAUUUGGGACAUACUUAUCCUAAAAAGUAUCUGUUGUUUAUCUGAAAUUCAAAUUUAUCUGGGUGUCCUGUAUUUU